AACAUCGAUGAUACGCGAGGAACCAUUACCUGGACCUAAACUGUAGACUUGACAUGACUAGAGCUAGUACUAGUCUUCGGACAAUCUACAAGCUGCUGCCUGGUUGUCGUCAGCUCGUCCCCUGAGGUUUCGGUGAAAGUCCCAUAACGAGCGCAACCCGUAUCCAUACCUACCAGCACGUAAUCAUCAGGACUUUAAAGAGACUGCCUGGGUAACCCGAGAGGAACCUGGGGAUGACGUCAAAUCAGCACGGCCCCUACNUCCACGGCAACACACCGUGUUACAAUGGUCGGUACAAAGGGCAGCUACCUAGCGAUAGGCAUGCUAAUCUCUAAAACCGGUCUCAGAUUCGGAUCGGAGUCUGCAACUCGACUCCGUGAAGCUGGACUUCGCUAGUAAUCGCAUAUCAGCCAUGAUGCGGUGAAUACGUUCCCGGGCCUUGUACACACCGCCCGUCAAACCAUGGAAGUUGGGGUACCUAAA
rnacentral:rRNA from 1 species